rnacentral:rRNA from 1 species
GACGAACGCUGGCGGCGUGCUUAACACAUGCAAGUCGAACGGAAAGGCCCUGCUUUUGUGGGGUGCUCGAGUGGCGAACGGGUGAGUAACACGUGAGUAACCUGCCCUUGACUUUGGGAUAACUUCAGGAAACUGGGGCUAAUACCGGAUAGGAGCUCCUGCUGCAUGGUGGGGGUUGGAAAGUUUCGGCGGUUGGGGAUGGACUCGCGGCUUAUCAGCUUGUUGGUGGGGUAGUGGCUUACCAAGGCUUUGACGGGUAGCCGGCCUGUGAGGGUGACCGGCCACAUUGGGACUGAGCUACGGCCCAGACUCCUACGGGAGGCAGCAGUGGGGAAUAUUGCACAAUGGGCGGAAGCCUGAUGCAGCAACGCCGCGUGCGGGAUGACGGCCUUCGGGUUGUAAACCGCUUUCGCCUGUGACGAAGCGUGAGUGACGGUAAUGGGUAAAGAAGCACCGGCUAACUACGUG